UAAGAAUGCAGUGCUGAGACAUCACCUUGGAGGCAGUGUCUUUUAGGAGCAGUCCUGCCAGUAGAAGGGUCAAGGCACAUGACAUCAGCUGCUGUCUACAUGCUGGGCUGAAAUGAAGUUGUGCAUUACUUGACUGUUGGUACAUCUCUUGUUGCACUGGACCUCUCAAAAACUCAGCAGUAGCUGUUAGUGAAUGCUUGGAGUGACUUACAGCUUGUAGAAGCUUGGUGUUGCUGUAAAAUGGAUGCACAGUGUACCUUCCCCUACCAAGACCAGUAUCUACUGCAUUCAAAUGGUAGCAACCAUCCAGGAAAUGUUAAAACGUUUCAAAAAAUGGAAGUACUGCAGUGUUUUCAAAUUUAAUUUUUACUAAAGUCUGUGAAGGGUCCUGGGUGAUACAGAAAGCUCACUUGCCCAUAGUGUGAGA
rnacentral:lncRNA from 1 species